CACAGAUAGAUGGAGCUCUUGAGAAUAUGGCUUAGAAAAUGUGACUGAAGUUGAAGUAAAGAUUGUUGGCAAAAGAGCAUCACAUGAGAAUUUUCUUCAACUUAGAGAACUAUUUUAUGAUCAUCGCGGGGAUUGUCAGCCAAAGAUUGAUACGAUACUUAAUGAGGAGGAACUAACCAUGAGAUCAAGAUUGAUGAGCUUUUAGAGACAUGAGAGAACCAAGGACAACAAUCAAAUCCAUUGAACCAAAUGGAUAUGCCAUUUAGAGAUAAGUUGAUAAAACAAGCGUCAUGACCCUCGGAGAAGGGGGUAUGAGAAUGACCAGAAAUGAGAGAUUUUAAGCAAAUCAACAUCCGAUACUUGAGAACGGGUUAUAGCAGAUAACCAGAUAAUAGGGUAGAAUCAUUAAAGGAUCCAGGGAUUCGGAUGAUAAAGCCACAACAUGAUUCGCAUGGAAAAAGAUUACCAGAUCCAGGUGAAAGGAGAGGUAUGCAAACAGGAUCAGCUAGGAUGAUUAACAGAAAUGCUAUGAAGUUUUAGGGGCAAGGAUUUAUGGAAAGAAACAUGGCUUGGUCAUGGUUUGCGCAACUAGACACAAACGAUGUUUUUUUGACAUAACCACGUGCUUAAGGAAGUUUCAGUUUGGCUAGCUGUUAAGUUAUGGGGGUCUACAAGUUGUGUAGGUGCAACUUCAGGGUAAAACACACAAGGGUUAGAAAACACCAACACAAGAAUGAAUUUGUUUUAGAGGUUUCACUUGCUAAACUCAAGGUUGUUUGGAGGGGUCUUUUUAUGGGCAAAACAGACAACAAUUUUUUUAUUGGCAAAAAGGGUUGAACAAUUGCAAUGCCACCUAGAUAGCAAAGACAAGAGAAACACAUAACGCGACCUAACAAGACUUACCAAUCUGACACGAGGUAAGACAGUUUUUUGCAGUUCAUAGCAAUACAACACAUUAUUCACAAUUUCUUAUUCUUGGAAUAAAGGUGAGAGAAGCAUGUUGAUGCACAAGAGACAAUUAUAAUGCGACAAUCAUGAUGCAUGCUCAUUCUAGUCGUC
rnacentral:lncRNA from 1 species